UAAGCAAACUAUACCGUGAAACUGCGAAUGGCUCAUUAAAUCAGUUAUCGUUUAUUUGAUAGUACCUACUUACUUGGAUAACCGUGGUAAUUCUAGAGCUAAUACAUGCUAAAAACCUCGACUUCGGAAGGGGUGUAUUUAUUAGAUAAAAAACCAAUGCCCUUCGGGGCUCCCUGGUGAUUCAUAAUAACUAAACGAAUCGCAUGGCCUUGCGCCGGCGAUGGUUCAUUCAAAUUUCUGCCCUAUCAACUUUCGAUGGUAGGAUAGUGGCCUACCAUGGUGGCAACGGGUAACGGGGAAUUAGGGUUCUAUUCCGGAGAGGGAGCCUGAGAAACGGCUACCACAUCCAAGGAAGGCAGCAGGCGCGCAAAUUACCCAAUCCCGACACGGGGAGGUAGUGACAAUAAAUACUGAUGUGGAGCUCUUUAGGGUUUCACAAUUGGAAUGAGAAAAAUCUAAACCACUUAAACGAGGAACAAUUGGAGGGCAAGUCUGGUGCCAGCAGCCGCGGUAAUUCCAGCUCCAAUAGCGUAUAUUAAAGUUGUUGCAGUUAAAAAGCUCGUAGUUGAACCUUGGGCCUGGCCGUCCGGUCCGCCUCACCGCGUGCACUGGUUCGGCCGGGCCUUUCCUCCUGGGGAACCGCAUGCCCUUCACUGGGUGUGUCGGGGAAUCAGGACUUUUACUUUGAAAAAAUUAGAGUGUUCAAAGCAGGCAUUUGCUCGAAUACAUUAGCAUGGAAUAAUAGAAUAGGACGUUGUGGUUCUAUUUUGUUGGUUUCUAGGACCGCCGUAAUGAUAA
rnacentral:rRNA from 1 species